rnacentral:other from 1 species
GCUCCCCUGUCUGGUUGGUGAGUCAGAAUUAUUCUAACCUACAAAUUCUUAACCAGGGGCUUUCCCUUACUGUGGUGUGCAUGCCUACUUGUAGGAAGCCUAAAACAGUAAUAAAGCUUCCACGUAAAAUCAAGGUUAAGAAUACUACUGACCACGGCCUUAUGAUGGGGGAGUU